rnacentral:rRNA from 1 species
UUGAACGCUGGCGGCAUGCCUAACACAUGCAAGUCGAACAGAAACGAUGGGAGCUUGCUCCCAGGCGUCGAGUGGCGGACGGGUGAGUAAUACUUAGGAAUCUGCCCAGUAGUGGGGGACAACAUUCGGAAACGGAUGCUAAUACCGCAUACGCACUACGGUGGAAAGUGGGGGACCUUCGGGCCUCACGCUAUUGGAUGAGCCUAAGUCGGAUUAGCUUGUUGGUGAGGUAAUAGCUCACCAAGGCGACGAUCCGUAGCUGGUCUGAGAGGACGAUCAGCCACACUGGGACUGAGACACGGCCCAGACUCCUACGGGAGGCAGCAGUGGGGAAUAUUGGACAAUGGGCGCAAGCCUGAUCCAGCAAUGCCGCGUGUGUGAAGAAGGCCUGCGGGUUGUAAAGCACUUUCAGUAGAGAAGAAAAGCCUAGGGUUAAUACCCCUGAGUCUUGACGUAACCUACAGAAGAAGCACCGGCUAACUCCGUG